UACGUAGGUGGCAAGCGUUGUCCGGAUUUACUGGGCGUAAAGAGCGCGCAGGCGGUCGUUCAAGUCGCGUGUGAAAGCCCCCGGCUCAACUGGGGAGGGUCACGCGAUACUGAUCGACUCGAAGGCAGGAGAGGGUAGCGGAAUUCCCGGUGUAGUGGUGAAAUGCGUAGAUAUCGGGAGGAACACCAGUGGCGAAGGCGACUUCCUGGCCUGUUCUUGACGCUGAGGCGCGAAAGCUAGGGGAGCAAACGGG
rnacentral:rRNA from 1 species